rnacentral:lncRNA from 1 species
AUGCCUGUUUCUUUAAGCAGCUGUUUCUUGUCUCUGAGGCUCUACAUAAUAACCUGCGAUCAAGAUCCCAGCUACAUGCUGCAGAGGCAACUAAAGAAGCUCAUAGAUCUGUCUUUCCAAGAUUUGGACAAAGCAGAAAAAUCAGGGGACACCCGGGCUUCCUACUUGAGAGCAUCCUGCAUCAGUGGUACCAAUGCUUUGGGAAGACCAGUGACUGCAAGUUCAAGAAUGCUGAAUUUUCCAAGAGCUGGGAAUAUCGAAGACUGGCUGCAUUGUGAGCUCUCCCCAUCCCUGCUUUUUUUUACAUGUACACACACCUCGAGUCUGACUCUGAUCCGCCAGUGA